GGCCCUUCCAGCUGCUUCGGUUUGUCUCUGUCUACUCCCGGAAUCACCCCAGCCCGGGAUAAGGGGCUGGAGCCACCCAAGGCCCACAGGCCGGUGGGGGGUGGGGUCGAGAGGGUCCUAUCUGCAGGCCUGCUUUGUGCUCUGCUCCUCUCCAAUGACACAUGGGCUAAGCAAGACAGUGGAGGAAUGGAGGCAAGAUGGUUCAGUUGACUCACCUGCGUAAUGUUUACAGCUAGUUAACCAAUCCAGGCCUCCUUGAUGCCUUGGGACACCAGAAGGAAGUCUCUAAUACAGGUGCACCCUGGGUGUACCCUGACUAGGUAUACCUAACACACACAAGAAGUCUCACUCUUCAAGGACCCCACAUCCCACUGAACCUUAUGAGCAAGCCUCCUGGGCUGAAGUCCUGAUCAAGACCAGAACGAAAACCAAAAAACCACCACCACAUAUAAAGUACUAUGGCAGGGAAUAGUGGGGAAGUAGUCUUGAGAGUCUUUCUGCAGUGGUUAUGCACGGGCUUGUCACUUUAUAGGAGAAUGUCGACUUGAAUAAACUCAAGAAGAGGAAAAAAUACUUUAAAGAGAUAGUUCUGCUCACGCCCCACAAAAAAAUGAAUGGGAGAGUUCCUCCUGCAACCCCUGAUGUCUGGUGUCACAUCUGCAGUCAAAUGAAUUUGGGUCAUGCUGACACCAAAGCCAACUGUAAAGUGUCUUGGUACUGGCAGUCUCUGUGGAAACAGUGUACCUCAACAAACACACUACGUAUUUGAAGAACUGUAAAAAUGUAAGCUAUGAGCUACACUUACUAUUUUUGGAUUAUAUGUCCCUGUUGGGCCAGUUCCAGGACUUUUACCUUCUCUGGCAUGACACAGUACCUAGCACAGAGAAGGCACCAAAUAAAUAUUUGAUCAAUAAAGUGGUAAAA